rnacentral:rRNA from 1 species
GAUGAACGCUGGCGGCGUGCCUAAUACAUGCAAGUCGAGCGAACAGAUAAGGAGCUUGCUCCUUUGACGUUAGCGGCGGACGGGUGAGUAACACGUGGGUAACCUACCUAUAAGACUGGGAUAACUUCGGGAAACCGGAGCUAAUACCGGAUAACAUUUGGAACCGCAUGGUUCUAAAGUGAAAGAUGGUUUUGCUAUCACUUAUAGAUGGACCCGCGCCGUAUUAGCUAGUUGGUAAGGUAACGGCUUACCAAGGCGACGAUACGUAGCCGACCUGAGAGGGGGAUAGGCCACACUGGAACUGAGACACGGACCAGAGUCCUAAGGGAGGCAGCAGUAGGGAAUCGUCCGCAAUGGGCGAAAGCCUGACGGAGCAACGCCGAGUGAGUGAUGAAGGGUUUCGGCUCGUAAAAAUCUGUUAUGAGGGAAGAACAAAUGUGUAAGUAACUGUGCACGUCUUGACGGUACCUAAUCAGAAAGCCACGGCUAACUACGUG